GUGAACGCUGGCGGCAGGCCUAAUACAUGCAAGUCGAACGGCAGCACAGUGGAGCUUGCUCCAUGGGUGGCGAGUGGCGGACGGGUGAGGAAUACAUGGGAAUCUGCCCAGUCGUGGGGGAUAACGUAGGGAAACUUACGCUAAUACCGCAUGCGCCCUUCGGGGGAAAGCCGGGGACCUUCGGGCCUGGCGCGAUUGGAUGAGCCCAUGUUCGAUUAGCUAGUUGGCGGGGUAAAGGCCCACCAAGGCGACGAUCGAUAGCUGGUCUGAGAGGAUGAUCAGCCACACUGGGACUGAGACACGGCCCAGACUCCUACGGGAGGUAGCAGUAGGGAAUAUUGGACAAUGGGCGCAAGCCUGAUCCAGCCAUGCCGCGUGAGUGAAGAAGGCCCUCGGGUUGUAAAGCUCUUUUGUCCGGGAAGAAAAGCAUCGGGCUAAUACCUCGGUGUUCUGACGGUACCGGAAGAAUAAGCACCGGCUAACUUCGUG
rnacentral:rRNA from 1 species